rnacentral:rRNA from 1 species
AGAACCUUACCUGGUCUUGACAUCCACGGAAGUUUUCAGAGAUGAGAAUGUGCCUUCGGGAACCGUGAGACAGGUGCUGCAUGGCUGUCGUCAGCUCGUGUUGUGAAAUGUUGGGUUAAGUCCCGCAACGAGCGCAACCCUUAUCCUUUGUUGCCAGCGGUCCGGCCGGGAACUCAAAGGAGACUGCCAGUGAUAAACUGGAGGAAGGUGGGGAUGACGUCAAGUCAUCAUGGCCCUUACGACCAGGGCUACACACGUGCUACAAUGGCGCAUACAAAGAGAAGCGACCUCGCGAGAGCAAGCGGACCUCAUAAAGUGCGUCGUAGUCCGGAUUGGAGUCUGCAACUCGACUCCAUGAAGUCGGAAUCGCUAGUAAUCG